AACACAACGCAACAUUUGGACUUUUGAAAACAUCACAAUUUCAACAAGACUACUCUCUACCGACAACUCAAUUCAUAAUCAAAUGAAAGCCUAUUCACACAGCCUCUUGUUUCCAUCAGUAUUCUCCUUCUCGGGUAUAUUGGACGAAGAUGAGUUUUACUCUGAUCUUAAUGCUGCUUCAAUUUCUGUCUGUGACCCACUCAGCUGGCAUCCAAAAACACGCGUUGAGGAAUGAUUCUACUGAACUGAAUGGAGAGGUCCCAAAUGUGCAUGUUGUGUCAGUCUUGUGGACAUGUGAAAAAGACAAAGUUGUAGAUUGGGAUAAGGGAGACACAGAGCCAAGGUAUUAUACUAGAUUAAAUAAGACUAAACUCAACAUGGACACCUGGGCUCUAACUAUCUCUGACCUGCAGCCGACAUGUCAUGGCCGAUAUGCACUUCAAAUCAAUGGUAGAGAAACAGCCAAGUCUUAUCAACUGACUGUAUUAGAACCUGUUUCUCAGCCAGAUAUCAGCCAUGCCUGUGACCCGGAAGGCUGUAACUUCACCUGUAAAGGAGCAGAUAGUACUCACACAGAGUACAGCUGGACUGAUAACCAGGGGAGAAAUGAGAGAGGGUCUGUGCUGAUGGUGGAGAAGACUGAGGGACUCAAUGGGGUCUACACCUGUAACUUCAGCAAUCCAGUGAGCUGGAACACAAGCAGCAUCAGGGAGGGAGAGCUGUUCUCUGCAGAUGCUACAGAUGCUAAAUUGGCCAUUAUCCUGGGAUCUAUCACGGGUGUGGCUGCCCUGAUCAUAAUUGCGAUUGGAAUCGCAUGUUGCAUCAAAAAGAAGAGUAUGCAUAGUAUGGUGUCUCUUCAAACACUGAUGUUUGAAAUGAGUAAACUUGUCUCUGUCAAUUUUGUUACAGUGUUUAUCAGUGGGAAUCACAACAAAUGCAUGAACACAUGUUUUUGAAAGAUGCAAUCAGUUAUGUUUUGACUGUUAAAUGCAAUCCUGAAAUAACACAGAUGUAGUUACUGUGGUUGUGAAUGUCAUUGGUGAAAUAAUGGAGACGGUCAUUAUUCAUUUAUACUGUAAAUCCAUGCUUGUCAUGCAUGUCUCAUUUAGCAUCAAGUUUAAACACAGUUUAUUUUAUUUUUUUAAAUAAUUGUUAACAUAAUCCCAUACAGUGCUUAUAGUUACUUCAAAAGAUGUAAGGGUGUGUGGUUGCUUAAUAAGAUAUUCUUGUGAAAUGUAUCUUCCAAGGAGAAGCUCACGUGAGACAAGAGCAGCCAGAAGAAUUUCCACUGUCAACAACUAACAAUCAGGCUCAACGGGAUGAACCAGAGGUCUGAGGUUGAAAAUCCAGUGCUAUCACCCAGGGAGAUAAUGAAGUAUCUCCGCUUUAUAUUCAACACAUUGGACAAGAAAGGCUUAAUAUACGAAAUUGCCCAAGGGAUAUCAUCGGGCACCC